GCUCAUUCCGAUCUGUUUUACGCCGCUACUACCACAGAAAGUUUUUUUUUCACAUUUUUAAACUACGAAUAUGUUCUUUUGUAAACUGGCC